rnacentral:lncRNA from 1 species
CUUCCUUUCUUUCUUUAGGACCCCACUUUGGCAUAUGGAAGUUCCCAGGCUAGGAGUCAAAUCAAAGCUUCAGCUGCCAGCCUACACCAUAGCCACAGCAUAACUGGAUCUGAGCUGUGUCUGCAAGCUACGCCACAGCUCAUGGCAAAGCCGGAUCCUUAACUCACUGAGCAAGGCUAGGGAUCGAACCUGCAUCCUCAUGGACUUUACAUCAGGUUCUUAACUUGCUGAGCCACAGUGGGAACUCCCAGCCCCUUCUUUGUGAAGAGACUGAGCUGGAAAUAAAAACACAUUCUAAGAUGCUUGGGGGUUGGGGGUAUCUGAACCAUGGAAUGAGCUUAGAGAUCACUGAAGUUAUUCUAGGCUUCCUUCUGCAACUGUUUCCAAUGAGUCUUCUAACUGCCCAACUAAACUGCACUUCCCCAAAUUCCUUCCAUCUUCAGACACGGUCCUCUCCAAAGCAUCUCCUUGAGAAGCAAAGUCUUCACUGUCCUGCAUCAGUAACUUGCAUCCCUCUCCUCAGGCCACUCUUAGCAGCAAGUCCAAAACUGUGUAGUUGAUGAUUUUCCAAGUAAAACGUGGUCUCCCAGGGUCCUUCCUCAUUGGCCUUUGCAGCAGGAGGUUUUUUAAACUCUCUCCAAUAUCAGCCAAAUGAAAGGAGGCUUGAAGGGAGGGAAAUCAAAAAGAAGUGAAGCCACCAUGGCCUCUAGGCCUGUUCUGAUUCCUUGCUGCCUCCCCAAAGAUGAGCCCAGAGGUUCAUCCGCAAGCUCAGCACCUUGCCCUCCAUCCUACGCUUGUGGUUUUUAUUUUGGCUGCAAGCAGAGGCGGCAGCCCCAUGACUCUCCUCCUCCCCAUUCAUCUACCCAUCCAUCCAAUGACUCAUGCAGUCAUUCAACAUUUCUUCUCACUUCUCUUGCUCUCUGCCAAACCUGCUCGGUUUUUCUAUGAAGGAAAAGUCCGUCUUGACUUAAUGAGUGGAGGGUGGGGAGGAGUCCAUGGAUUACAUCAAAGUACCCCAGGGUCUCUGUCAAAUGGACUCAAUUUCACAGAACACCCCCCCCCCGGAUGCUCUUCCUCUUUUCUCUUAUUCAUAUAUGCAUAUGUAUAGAUUCACAGCCAUAUAUUCACCUAUGCAACCACCCCUCUUAUUUGACUCGAAUCUGUUCAUGAAAACACACGGGCUAUGCAUUUCAGAGAGUAGUCACUUGUCUUCUAUUAUUUUAAAUGAGAAAAAUUAUAAUGCAGUCCCAGACCAUCCCAAGUCUCAAUCAGUUCCCAAAAUAUCCCUGUAUGUCACUGUAGCACUUUUAAACACCAUGCAAAACUCUCCCAGGAAUGUUUUAUAAUAUGAAUCAAUUAAAACACCCCUUGGUUAAUUAGCACUUAAGGAAUCCUCAGUGGGAAGGUUUGGGUGUGUGCAACGAACUGACACCGUGAGGGUUCAAGGCUCCUCCUCUUGGCAUAGCACUGGCCUAGAGAUGCCAACAAGGGAGAGUGAAGUUGAAACGUAGGAAACACCACUUCGACUGGACCUGGGUUUUUAAAGCCCCCAGGAAACUGGGUGAAGCAGAUUGUCACCCAGGAGGGGAUAAAGCUGGGGGCAAAAGUGUGAGGAAGGUGACAGUGAUAAAAUGAAACAUACUUAAAGGACAUAGCAGCAGGUGCAAAUUUGCUGGCGGAAGAGAAGAGCCAGGACUGCCACACACGCCACUCCUCUUGAGAGACCCAGGAGCUAUGAAAUGUUUUUAUGGGUGUGCCCGUAUGGAUUCCCUGUAAUGGGCAUUCAAUACAAGGAGGAAAUGUUUGUUAAAAACCUGCCAGAUACUGAUGAAUAUUUUUUGUCUUCUUUUUAGGGCCGCACCUGCAGCAUAUGGGUGAGGGGUUGAAUUGGAGCUGCAGUUACCACCCCAUAGCAACUCAGGAUCCAAGCCUCAUCUGUGACCUACACCACAGCUCAUGGCAAUGGCAGAUCCUUAACCCACUGAGCGAGGCCAUAUCCUCGUGGAUACUAGUCAGUUUGUAACCCACUGAGCCACAAUGGAAACUCCUGAUGAAUAUUUUCUAAAUGAGAGUUUGCUUUUUUUAAUGAAAAGUCUAGAAAAUACCACUAGAUAGAUAACACUUCAGACCCUUUUGGAUAUCUAGAAUAAAACAGUAAAACAACAACAGAAAACUAAAAGAGCAACUGCUGGCAAGGAUGUGAGGAAAUUGGAAUGCUCAGACCUUGCUGGUGGGAACAUAAAUGGUGCCGCCUUUGUGGGAAGCCGUUUGGAGGCUCCUCAAAAAGUAAAACAGAAUUAGCAUAGGACCCAGCAAUUCCAUUCCUAAAGAUACACUUGAAAGCACUGAAAACAGGUACGCAAACAAAUACCUGUACAGGAACGUACGUCGCAGCACUAUUCCAACAACGGAAAGGUAGACUCAACCCAAAUGUCCAUCAACCCAUGAAUGGAUAAACAAAGUGAGGCAUAUACAUAUAAUGGGCUAUUAUUCAUCCACAAAAAGAAAUAAAGUACAGAUACAUGCUGCAACAUAGAUGAACCUUGAAAACACUGUGUUAAGUGAAAGAACCCAGACUCAAAAGGUCACAUAUUUUGAAAUUCUAAAUAUAUGAAAUGUCCAGAAUAGGUGAAUCCAUAAAGAUAGAAAACAGAUUGUGGUUCCCAAGGACUGGAGGUGGAGAGAGGAACUGAGAGUCUGCCCAGUGUGGACAGAGUUUUCUUCAAGGGGGAUUAAAAACUCGAACGAGAACUAGACGGAGGUAGUGAUUGUCCACCAUUGUGAAUGUACAAAAAGCCAGUGGUUUUUACACUUUAAAGUACUUAAUUUUAUGUGAGUUUCACCUCUAUUUUUUAAAAAAGCUUUGAAAAAAAAUCAUAACCUUCAUAUUGUCAGUGCACAGAUCAGUGGCCCUCGUGUAGGUGUUAAGGAAUGUUUGAUACACGAAUGAACAAAUGAACAGAUGAACCUGCCCCUGGUCCUCGGUGCCCUGCUUGCCCAGGCUCCUCCCCACCUCCCCAGGCGCCCCUUCUCUCUGUGCCCCAGACAUACCAAAGUUUCCCUGGGCCCCCCUGAGUGCUGGGCUGCCUCCUGUCCCAGGACCUUUGCAUGGCCUCUUUCCCGUCUGAAGCCCCUCAAACCAUGGCCCUGGCUCACUUUCCCUCAACUCAGCUUGGCCAUCAAUCUCUCCAGGAAAGCCUAUCACCUGAAUUAUCUGGGUCACCUGAGUCCCUUCCAGCUUGCACUCUCAGAGCACCAGAACUUUCUCUUUAGGUCACUUGCCAUCAUCACACAUUUCUACGUCUUUGUGCUCUUCUGCCACCUCUGGUCUCCUCCAUUAUAAUGUACAUUUCACGAGGGCUGAAAAAGGGUCACUGUGUCAUUGACGGGGUGGUUCCUGCCUCCCCAUCCCCAACAUAGAACCUGGCGCAGCUCUGUGCUCAACAAACAACUGGGGGAGGGAGAGAGGUGGGAGAAGCAACAGGUCUUUCUUUCUCCUCUGAUCUCCUUUAGAAAACCAUCAACUCGUCAUUUCUUAACCAGUUGGUUAUGGGGGUCCUUUGUGUGCAGGUGUGCUGAUUCAGACAUGCGCACACACAAAAUCCCUUCUUUCUUAAAGCCUGUCUCUGUGAAGUUAGUCUCUUAUGAAGCAGGGUUUCCCAGUAUUUGUUAGCAGAAAUAAGCUCCAGAGGCACUGAAUGCAAUGACACCACAGACAAAGUGAGAGAUGAACUCUUACUGGUUUGGGCAGGAUUGUAGGUCAAACAGCAUGGACAGCACAGGGAUUGUCUACACCACAUUUUGAUUUCUCCCACUUGUCUCCGACUUGGGGGUCAAUCACUCUAGAGCUUGUCUCCUCUUCUUUGUCUUCUAGGUCUGCUGCACCCCCAUCCUGCUGGACUCUCCCCUUCCUUCUGCCUUCACUUUAAGCCCCUCUGAUUUCUUUCUCUCUCUCUUUUUUUUGGGGGGGGAGCGGGUGCUGUGCUCAUGGCAUAUGAAAUUUCCCAGGCCUGGGAUCGAAGCCACACCACAGCAGCGACCCAAGCGGCUACAGCGACAACACCAGAUCCUUAACCUGCUGCACCACAAGGGAAAUCCAAGCCCUUUUGAUUUCUCAUUCAGGUGCUCCUUCCAUUGUGAUCUGAUGGCCUCUCUAUUCCUCCUUCUGCACCCCAUGUACUUGGCGGAAACUUGGGCCAGUAUCUGAAAAUCUAAAAAGGUCAAAGAUGUAGGACCAUUUUCUGCUGGAAUUAACAAAAGGUGCGGGUGAACCACCCAUCGCCUGAGAAGAGCCUUGCACCUGAAUUAUCUACAUGUGGUACCGGAGGAGAAACUAGAAAGGGAAGAAGAUGUGACAGAUCUAGGAUCUGCCACUGGGAAGGGAUGGGUGCGCACAGACCAAAGGUCCCCAUUAUGUUUCAAAGGACCUAGUAUCUCCAGUGGGUAUGCGCUCAUCUCCCUGAAAUAAUAUAUGCUAAUUUCUUGAUGCAAAAUUCAUACUGUCCUCCUGUUGCUAAGCGACCAACCCAAACAUGUUUACUGUGUAAAUUUCUCUGGAGGGUCCAUGUCUGCACCCAAUGCUUGAAAUGUGAUGGAUGCAAGAGGCGCUGAAAACAUCCGAAGCUUUGGACAAGUUUUCUGAAGCUGACCUGCGAAGAUGCAUAUAUUAUAGACAAUUUCAUGCCCUAUCCGGAGAAACACAGUGGCUCAAGUAAAAUUUUGAUGAGUUUUUCUGCUAAUCUCCAGCCUAAUGGACAAAAGUGUGGGCUCUGGAGCCAUAUUUCCAAAAUGUGAUUCCCAGCUCUGCCACUGGGUAAAUUAUUUCAGCGUUCUGUUUUACUUUUCCCCUGUGUAAGGCAGAAAUAAUAAUCAUGCAUAUUUCAUAGGGCCAUUGUGAGGAUACAAUUAAUAUGGUUAAAGAGCUUAACAGCGCCUGGCGCACAUAAAGAACUCAAUAAACGUUAGCUAUACUAUCUCUGUUAUUUAUUACUCUGUGGAAAUGGAUCUAUUCUUUGUUUAUAUGAAGAGGAGAGUUUAUCAGCCAGGAGAUCAGCUGAGAAAUCAAUUCUUUAAGAGGACUGAGCAUCCAAGGAGGUCAGACCUUAGAGCAGCCCAGAGUCAGAUCAGCUCCAGGAAUGGCAGCUGAUGACUUCCUGUGAUCACGAAAGUACAGAGGAGACCGCAGCAGAGCAGCCGGUGAGACCUGGAGAAAGUUCUACUCUGAGCUGAAGGCGGGGAGACCCUUCUAAGGGUUUCCCAGGGCCUCCCCCCUCCCCGUACCUCCCCUGCCAUGGAAGCACGGCAACAUGCUUCGUGGCAACAGCUGACUUCAUUGUCUGCCUUCCCACUUCCAAAGAAGAGCAGAUGCCUGCCUUUUACUGCUGUAUCCCCUUGUCCUUUAGGUUAGCCAAAAGGAGGGCUUCCUCUGAAAGGACCCAGAACUGUGGUGAGUGGCAGCCUGUGCAGAAAGCAUGAAAAGGAUAAUUUGGGGGAAGGAACCAGUGGGUCUGGCUGCCUCUCAUUAAUAGAUUCAGCAGCAGUGGUGAAGCGAAGAUGACCACACACACACACACACACACCCUAUUCUGCCUCUGCGCUGUCUGCUUACUCAAGGGCCCAAUUGUCCCUGCAUAAGAACCAAGCUUCAAAGCUGGGCUGACAACAGGGAGGGAGGUCCCAGAUGAUGCUGCCAGGUCACAAGGGCAGCGUGGUGAGACUGAAUGUCUCGCUUCCCCCAAAGGACCGCGUGCAGGGGGGAGCCGGGGUGGGGGGCAGCGCUGCAGAGGACGGCAGGAUGAAGGGUCCACAGUGUGCAGUUCGGAAAAGCCAAGAAGGAUUAUGAACCGAUGACAGCUGGAGGGAUCAGGGGUGAUGGAUGAGUGAGGACUUGCACCCUUUCCCACCUCCCACUCAGCAGAGAUGCCUGUGGGUACGUCCUCAGAAUGUUUGAAAAAGCAGCAGAAAGAAAACAGAGGAUGACAGCAGCACAUCUAAUAAAAUCAGUUGGGAGAAUGGCUAUACUUGUGCUUCUUCAUUCAUUCAUUAAAUAAUAGGAUCUAGCGGGAGAUUUAAUAAGUACCAUAAUUUAGAAUUAGAGGCGAGCAUAGAUGCUAUCGUGAGGCAUCUGUAACAGCCAUGCAAUGCUCUGAAACUGCCUGUGAUUUCCCUUGGGGCCGAAGUCAUCGAUACUGUUAAUAUUCCUGCGGGGUGUAGUUU